UCGGCUCAUCGCAUCCUGGGGCUGGAGCAGGUCCCAAGGGUUUGGCUGUUCGCCAAUUAAAGCGGUACGUGAGCUGGGUUUAGAACGUCGUGAGACAGUUCGGUCCCUAUCUUUUGUGGGCGCAGGAUAUUUGAGAGGAUCUUUCCCUAGUACGAGAGGACCGGGAUGGACGAACCUCUAGUGUUCCAGUUGUCGCGCCAGCGGCAUUGCUGGGUAGCUACGUUCGGAAUGGAUAACCGCUGAAAGCAUCUAAGCGGGAAGCCAACCUCAAGAUAAGAUAUCCCUUUCUGCUCUUCGGAGCAGAGCUGAAGACCCCUUGUAGACUACAAGGUUGAUAGGCCAGGUGUGUAAGUGUGGUAACACAUUCAGCUAACUGGUACUAAUAGGUCGUGAGGCUUGGCCAU
rnacentral:rRNA from 1 species